rnacentral:misc_RNA from 1 species
AAUGAAACUCAGAAGAGUUGAUCAAGAGCAGAUCUAGAAGACUCAAACUGAAGUGGAGAAGAUGCUCUUACAUUGAGAAACAAGUGGAGAAGGAGAAAGAGAAAGCUUUAUGAUUUAUGGAUUCAAUUGCAAAACACAGAGAGCUGUGACUGAAACAAGAUAGAAUUUUUUUUGGUUCACGCCAAAAGACCUGUAGAGGAAAACUCGCGUGCUUUUAUUACUAUUACUACUUGUUUGAUUUUGCUGUUGUACUAUUAUUAUAGUAUGUUAUACAUAUGAUCAUCAUUGGCAUAGAUUAUUC